rnacentral:rRNA from 1 species
GUGGGGAAUAUUGGACAAUGGGCGCAAGCCUGAUCCAGCCAUGCCGCGUGAGUGACGAAGGCCUUAGGGUUGUAAAGCUCUUUUGGCGGGGAAGAUAAUGACGGUACCCGCAGAAUAAGCUCCGGCUAACUUCGUGCCAGCAGCCGCGGUAAUACGAAGGGAGCUAGCGUUGUUCGGAAUCACUGGGCGUAAAGCGCACGUAGGUGGAUCAUUAAGUUAGGGGUGAAAGCCCGAGGCUCAACCUCGGAACUGCCUCUAAUACUGGUGGUCUAGAGUUCGAGAGAGGUGAGUGGAAUUCCUAGUGUAGAGGUGAAAUUCGUAGAUAUUAGGAAGAACACCGGUGGCGAAGGCGGCUCACUGGCUCGAUACUGACACUGAGGUGCGAAAGCGUGGGGAGCAAACAGGAUUAGAAACCCUAGUAGUCC